CCAACUACAUGGUGCAUCGAUCUCCUAGCAUAAUAAAAAUCUAGCCUAGCAUAAUGGGAAAUAACGAAAAACAAUAAUUAAAACCAAGGAAGAACAUCACCCCAAUUGAUUCUUGAAGUGAAAUCUUGAAUCUUGAAGUAGAUUGCCUUGUUUUUGCCUUGUUCUUCCUCUCCAAAUCCCCCAAAAUUGUGUAUAUUCCCCCCUCUUUAUGUUUCAGGGUCGUUUGGUAUUUAUUAGAGGCGGAAUUAGGUCAAGGAAGUCGCCAAAAAUCUUACUAAAUCGUGUUUGAGUCGAAUAAGGAAACCUGAGAUUUCAUCACAUUUUUAUACCAUGCAACCGCAUGGUAUAAAGCCAUGCUACCGCAUGGUUCAGAAGUUUCAGCCCAAAUUUUUCCCUAUACUGCCUUGUGCGACCGCAAGGAAUUAUAACCAUGUGACCGCAUGGUUAUAGAAAUUUUUUCGUCAAAUAGCUUUCAGUAUUUUGGUCAUAACUUUUUCUCCCGAUCUCCGAUUGAAGUGAUUCAAAGUGAAUUGAGAAGAAAACUCAAAGAUCUACACUUUUGAUGGAAAUAGGCUUCCUCAAAUUAUGAUGUUUACUAUGCCAAAAAUGGAUCUCAAGUAGAGACUAAAAAUUACGAGCAUAACUUUUUCGCCUGAAAAUUGAUACUUGAUAGUAUUUCGACCAUAUUUCACCUCUUGACUCCUUUUCUCAUCCGAUUGACCUCUAACACUCUUGAAUCUUCAUUCCAUUUCCUGUCUCAUCUAUGAAUUAUUUGCAACUUGUUCCCCGAACUAUCACUUUGCUCCAUUUUAGUCUUUUUUCGGCUCUUUUCUUCUGAAUUUCACCAUAUUCAUCGGUGUUCCCUACAAUUUAC
rnacentral:lncRNA from 1 species